rnacentral:rRNA from 1 species
AUUGAACGCUGGCAGCAUGCUUUACACAUGCAAGUCGAACGGUAACAGGGUGCUUGCACCGCUGACGAGUGGCGAACGGGUGAGUAAUGCGUCGGAACGUGCCGAGUAGUGGGGGAUAACGCAGCGAAAGUUGUGCUAAUACCGCAUACGUACUGAGGUAGAAAGUGGGGGACCUUCGGGCCUCACGCUAUUCGAGCGGCCGACGUCUGAUUAGCUAGUAGGUGAGGUAAAGGCUCACCUAGGCGACGAUCAGUAGCGGGUCUGAGAGGAUGAUCCGCCACACUGGGACUGAGACACGGCCCAGACUCCUACGGGAGGCAGCAGUGGGGAAUUUUGGACAAUGGGCGAAAGCCUGAUCCAGCCAUGCCGCGUGUCUGAAGAAGGCCUUCGGGUUGUAAAGGACUUUUGUCAGGGAGGAAAUCCCCAGUGCUAAUAACACUGGGGGAUGACAGUACCUGAAGAAUAAGCACCGGCUAACUACGUGCCAGCCGCCGCAGUAACAC